rnacentral:rRNA from 1 species
ACGUUGGAUACUGGAGCGGGGAAGGAUUUCGUGCCAACGGCACUCGUACACGAGUUGUUCGGAUACUGAGCACAACGUUACACCGUUUUGUUAGGAAAGUGAAGGUGCGUCGGCGGCGUGCGUUUUUUUUUUGGUUUUUUUUUUUUUUUUAAAAAAAAAAAAAAAAAAGGCGCCCCCCCCUGGGCCUUUUUGAAAAGGGGGAAAAAA